rnacentral:lncRNA from 1 species
CCCAAGUAGCUGGGGCUACAGGCACCUGCCACCACACCCGGCUAAUUUUUUUGUAUUUUUAGUAGAGACGGGGUUUCACCGUGUUAGCCAGGAUCGUCUUGAUCUCCUGACCUUGUGAUCCACCCACCUCGGCCUCCCAAAUUGCUGGGAUUACAGGUGUGAGCCACCGCACCUGGUCCAAGAACCCAAGUUUUAGAUCUAGAGUGAUGUCAGCAUGACAUUGAUUUCCUGAGGCCCAGGUGUGAAGGAGCUGAGGACAGCAGAGGGGUGAAGGAACUCAGCUACAGACAGCAGCAGCUGAUGCACAGGCCUCCCAGCGCCUGAAGUCACCUGGAAUUGGGAAGUGCUCAGAAGCUUACAAAGCUGCCUCGAGCAGAAGAAUCCCAGACUUCUUAGAGAACCCAGUGACUUUUUGCACCUUAAAUCUGUGAAAUCCUCAUGCUUUCUUCCAUAGUUCAAACAAACAUGAGGCAAAGCUAGACACAUUCCUGAAGGAACCCAAGAAAUUCCUCUCUUUCUGUCUCUGGAAUGAAAUGAAUUCUCUAGACCACCAGUUCUAACCUUCAAAAACCAAACCUGUUUGUGAGAUCUCCUUCAAAUACUACUGUAGACCCCAGUGUUUAUUCAUUAAAUUUUUUAAAUAUU